rnacentral:rRNA from 1 species
AUUGAACGCUGGCGGCAUGCUUUACACAUGCAAGUCGAACGGUAACAGGCCUUCGGGCGCUGACGAGUGGCGAACGGGUGAGUAAUGCAUCGGAACGUGCCCAGUCGUGGGGGAUAACGCAGCGAAAGCUGUGCUAAUACCGCAUACGAUCUGCGGAUGAAAGCGGGGGACCUUCGGGCCUCGCGCGAUUGGAGCGGCCGAUGUCAGAUUAGGUGGUUGGUGGGGUAAAGGCUCACCAAGCCAACGGUCUGUAGCUGGUCUGAGAGGACGACCAGCCACACUGGGACUGGGACACGGCCCAGACUCCUACGGGAGGCAGCAGUGGGGAAUUUUGGACAAUGGGCGCAAGCCUGAUCCAGCAAUGCCGCGUGCAGGAAGAAGGCCUUCGGGUUGUAAACUGCUUUUGUACGGAGCGAAAAGGCUCCCUCUAAUACAGGGGGCUCAUGACGGUACCGUAAGAAUAAGCACCGGCUAACUACGUGCCAGCCGCCGCCGUAAAAC